ensembl:lncRNA
CUCAGAAAGAGGUGAAAUGAUCUAAAGAGAAAUAUUUAUUUAGAUUUCUUAAUAAAAGAGAGUCAAUGUUAAACUUUUUCUAAAAAAUUCUACAAAGUCCUUAUCAAGAUCAAUGCAGUCCUCAAAUUUUUUCCUUCUAAUGGUCUUAACUUCUUUUGGCUCAAUUUAACUUUGUUUCACAGACAUUUGGAUCAGAGCAGACUAUGUUAUACACUAUGCAAGCAACCAUUCUUCAUGAUCAUCAACCGUGUUCCUAUGUGGGAAUCUACAUGUACAAUUCAGAAAACUAUGGAACUAUUUAGGGCACCUCCAGCAAUGAAGCAGGUGACUUCCACCUCGGGUUCUCUGCUUACUCCUUGAAGCAUUGAAGGCUUGUGAAUGGCAUCCAUCCAAGCAAGAAACCAGUAGGUCGCCACGGAAACGACUGUGCAAAGGGAGCCCAAACCGAAGAAGGACAGUGUGGUUUUCUGGACUCUGUUUUUCUGAUAAAGGAACCGUGAGGACCAAUCAGCUCUUGCAGGUCCAAAACCAUGGCCCAGGCCAUUCCAUUUCUAAGCCAGACAUAAUUGUGUUAUUGGAAGAAGGAAGAAACCCCUGGAUGGUUGUGAGAAUAGAAACAAGAAGCUGGAAUACAGAUUUGGAUUCAAGUUAUAAAAUAACCAGCGAUAGAAAAACGUUUGUAUCUGGGAAACAUUCAUCUCUUUUUCUGCAUCAGAUCAUUCAUGGUGGUGAGAAACUCUAUGAAGAACGUGGGAAAGCUUUUUGUUGUGCCCCACACCUUGCUCAACAUGGAAGAGUUCAUUAUGGAGCAGACUGCCAGGACUCCAAGAUGGCGUCAGUUUUACCACUGAAGAAAAAGAAACUCCUGGAUGUCAAAUUAAGGGAGCUGCCAAGCUGGAUACUAAUGUGAGAUUUCAUCCCUAAAGGCAUUGCUGGAGCGUUUCAAAGAGGUUAUUGCCAGUAUUACAACAAGUUAAACAUGAAGAAAGGGAGUGUCGCUGGGCUUUCUGUGGUGCUGGCAGCUUACAUGCUUAUCAACUGUUGCCAUUCUUACAAGGAGCUUUAACAAGAGCAGCGAAGCAAGUACCACUGAAGAGGGCACAUUCUGCAUUCCUGACCGUCACCUUUGCCAGGCACCCCUGAAUCCUUUCAUAGCCUAUUGGAGAAUUAACACCCAAUUAAAGAUGACUGGUUAAAAAAAAAAUCUCUCUUAGCAACUUUCAAAUCAAGUAAUAUGAACUAUAAUCACCAUUCUAUAUAUUACAUCCCCAUGAGUUAUUUACUUUAUAAUUGGAAAUUUGUGGCUUUUGGCCUUCUUCACACAUUUCAGCCACUGCCUCUGGCAGCCAUUAGUUUCUUCUCUGUAUCUGUGACUUCAGUUCCAUCUUUUUGUUUUUUAUUUUUUUUCCAGAGUCCACAUAUAAAUGAGGUCAUACAGUAUUGGUGUAUGUCUUUCUCUGUCUGACUUCACUUAGUAUAAUGCCCUCACCCAUCCAUGUUGUCACAAAUGGCAGGAUUUCCUUCUUUUUAUUAUUGGAUAAUAUUCAAUUGUGUACAUGCCACAUUAAAAACAAAUCUCUUGAUGAUCUCUUGUUUCUAUGUCUUAGAAAUUGUAAAAAGUGCUGCAUUGAACACUGGAGUGUAGAUAUAUUUUCAAAAUAGUGAUUUUGGUUCCUUUGGGUAAAUACCAAGAAGUGGAACUGUUGGGUUAGAUGGUAGUUUCUAGGUUUAAUUUUUUGAGGAAUCUCCAUACUGUUUUUCAUAAUAUCUGAACUAGUUGACAUUCUCUCAGCAGUGUAGAGCUUCCCUGGUGUCUCUCAGAUGGUAAAGAAUCUGCCUGCAGUGCGGGAGACCCAGGUUCGAUCCCUGGGUUGGCAAGAUCCCCUGGAGAAGGGAAUGGCUACCCAGUCCAGUGUUCUUGUCUGGACAAUUUUAUGGACAAAGGAGCCUGGUGGGCUGCAGUCAGUGGGGUUGCAAAGAGUCAGACACUACUGAGCAACUAACACACACAUACACCAGCAAUACACAAGGGCUCCCUUUUCUCUAUGUUCUUGCCAACAUUUGUUAGUUCUUGUUUUAAUAGCCAUUCCUACAGGUAUGAGGUGACAUUUUAUUGUAAUUUUGAUUUGUAUUUCCCUGAUGAUUAGUGAUGUCGAGCACCUUUUCCUGUACUUAUUGGCCAUUUGUUUGUUUUCUUUGGAAAAAUGUCUAUUCAGAGCCUCUCAUUUUUAAAUUGGGUUGUUUGCUUUUCUGUUAAGUUGUAUAAGGGUUUUUUAAAAAUAUAUUGUAGAUUAUAAAUCAACUAUAUUCUAAUAGAAAAUAAAACUUUUAAAGAUAAAUAAAUAAAAUUUUUUUAAAAAGAAAAC